ensembl:piRNA 21ur-4384 ncRNA
UAAUGCGAACUUUUCUCUAUU